GGUUGUGAUAAGGUGGACUUCAAUGAUCUGAUUGCUUGCACUUCACUUGGUGGAAUUAAUAUUAGAAUGCUGUUUUUUAAGGAAUUAAUAUUAGAAUGCUGUUUUUUUACCCUUAAAAAACAGCAUUCUAAUAUUAAUUCCACCAAGUGAAGUGCAAGCAAUCAGAUCAUUGAAGUCCACCCUAUCACAAC